AUUGAACGCUGGCGGCAGGCCUAACACAUGCAAGUCGAACGGUAACAGGAAACAGCUUGCUGUUUCGCUGACGAGUGGCGGACGGGUGAGUCAUGUCUGGGAAACUGCCUGAUGGAGGGGGAUAACUACUGGAAACGGUAGCUAAUACCGCAUAACGUCGCAAGACCAAAGAGGGGGACCUUCGGGCCUCUUGCCAUCAGAUGUGCCCAGAUGGGAUUAGCUAGUAGGUGGGGUAACGGCUCACCUAGGCGACGAUCCCUAGCUGGUCUGCGAGGAUGACCAGCCACACUGGAACUGAGACACGGUCCAGACUCCUACGGGAGGCAGCAGUGGGGAAUAUUGCACAAUGGGCGCAAGCCUGAUGCAGCCAUGCCGCGUGUAUGAAGAAGGCCUUCGGGUUGUAAAGUACUUUCAGCGGGGAGGAAGGGAGUAAAGUUAAUACCUUUGCUCAUUGACGUUACCCGCAGAAGAAGCACCGGCUAACUCCGUG
rnacentral:rRNA from 1 species